rnacentral:rRNA from 1 species
GACGAACGCUGGCGGCGUGCUUAACACAUGCAAGUCGAACGGAAAGGCCCUGCUUUUGUGGGGUGCUCGAGUGGCGAAAGGGUGAGUAACACGUGAGUAACCUGCCCUUGACUUUGGGAUAACUUCAGGAAACUGGGGCUAAUACCGGAUAGGCGCUCCUGCUGCAUGGUGGGGGUUGGAAAGUUUCGGCGGUUGGGGAUGGACUCGCGGCUUAUCAGCUUGUUGGUGGGGUAGUGGCUUACCAAGGCUUUGACGGGUAGCCGGCCUGAGAGGGUGACCGGCCACAUUGGGACUGAGAUACGGCCCAGACUCCUACGGGAGGCAGCAGUGGGGAAUAUUGCACAAUGGGCGGAAGCCUGAUGCAGCAACGCCGCGUGCGGGAUGACGGCCUUCGGGUUGUAAACCGCUUUCGCCUGUGACGAAGCGUGAGUGACGGUAAUGGGUAAAGAAGCACCGGCUAACUACGUG